CCUUUUCCUAUUGGUCACUCUCGAUUGAAGUCACAGGUUGACCACGCCCACUCAGUUUACCCGGAAUCCGCUGCACUGCCGCCGCAGUCUGACAGAAGAGCGAGCGAGGGUGCAUCAUGACGAGCAACAGGUCGUGUACUGGGAAGAUUUGGUGUUGAUGGAGGAGGCAACAUCUUCAAGGCAAAACCUUAGACCUGAUGCAACAUCAUCCAGUGUCAAAAUCACCCUUUAGGAGGCACUUGAAGACCAGUGCCCAAUAUGCACAGGAACAUUUCCAGUGUCAGAAGUAGACCUGCCAUGCCAGCUUUUGUGGAGACAGGUAAUGUGAGGAGGAUGUGAUUCGUCAUGCAGCAGCACAGAUAAACACCACAAAGACAUCUGAAGUCUGUCACAAGAUAA